UUGAGGAGUCAGAGAGAGGGACUCAGAAGAAGAAAUUGUAGUGUAUUCUAUAGAUUACUUUGAAAUGAAAAUGUUACCUGGGUGUGUGAGCUGAGAGUUUGGACUUUUCAUCUGACAAUGAAUGACACCGUAUUUGACCUUGAAGAGGCUACUGGACCUUACCAUUGUCUAUAUGUAGAAGCAGGAAUGAUUCAGAUACCUAAUGAUUAUUAAAAAUGCUUUGAUGCCUCAAAUGAAAUAAC
rnacentral:lncRNA from 1 species